GAUGAACGCUGGCGGCGUGCCUAAUACAUGCAAGUCGAGCGAACGGACGAGAAGCUUGCUUCUCUGAUGUUAGCGGCGGACGGGUGAGUAACACGUGGAUAACCUACCUAUAAGACUGGGAUAACUUCGGGAAACCGGAGCUAAUACCGGAUGAUAUUUUGAACCGCAUGGUUCAAAAGUGAAAGACGGUCUUGCUGUCACUUAUAGAUGGAUCCGCGCUGCAUUAGCUAGUUGGUAAGGUAACGGCUUACCAAGGCAACGAUGCAUAGCCGACCUGAGAGGGUGAUCGGCCACACUGGAACUGAGACACGGUCCAGACUCCUACGGGAGGCAGCAGUAGGGAAUCUUCCGCAAUGGGCGAAAGCCUGACGGAGCAACGCCGCGUGAGUGAUGAAGGUCUUCGGAUCGUAAAACUCUGUUAUUAGGGAAGAACAUAUGUGUAAGAAACUGUGCACAUCUUGACGGUACCUAAUCAGAAAGCCACGGCUAACUACGUG
rnacentral:rRNA from 1 species